rnacentral:tRNA from 1 species
GAAACUUAAAAAAGAAAGCUUCUAACUUUCCCCUUAGCAUUUAAUUGUUAAAGUUUCU